rnacentral:rRNA from 1 species
UACGUAGGGUGCAAGCGUUGUCCGGAAUUAUUGGGCGUAAAGAGCUCGUAGGCGGUUUGUCGCGUCUGCUGUGAAAACCCGAGGCUCAACCUCGGGCCUGCAGUGGGUACGGGCAGACUAGAGUGCGGUAGGGGAGAUUGGAACUCCUGGUGUAGCGGUGGAAUGCGCAGAUAUCAGGAAGAACACCGAUGGCGAAGGCAGAUCUCUGGGCCGUAACUGACGCUGAGGAGCGAAAGCGUGGGGAGCGAACAGG